GGAAGAACGCUCAAUAUUCGCACGUGGAUGCUCGCCUGUUUAAGCUGCACCGCUCCACAUUCUUCUUUUAACCGAACGUUCUUGGGUCUUAUAUUUGCGGGUUACCCACUCAAGUAAAAAAAAGCAGAUUGAAGCUUACAAGCGUGCUGUCCUGGAAGGUGAUUGCUUCGUGAUACAACUACCCCACCUCUGUGCCACUGGAAUACAGGCGCACCUCUAAGGAAUAUGCAUCAAAUGUACGCAGUUGCCAUUUUUUGGGGCGUUUGGCUUCAUGUGACUGCAAGCACCACGAAUGUGAGUGUGAAGAAGAACGCAACACCCACGACUUUCGUCAAUGACCAACAUCAACACGUGCAGCCGGUGAUGAACAAGGACGGCCAGGUUGAUGCUAGAAAUAUUCAUUUUAGCAACCAGACAUCUUUGACCAAAUUAAAAAUACAUUCUAUGACUGAGGGUCCUAACAAUGACGACCCCACUGAAGCAAACUAUGAAUACAUUACCGACAAUACUUCUGAGGAAGAAACAAUAGGUCACAAAAAAGACAAACGACAGGUCACAACUGCUACGAUAAAUUCUACAAUUGAGGGUCCUAACAAUGACCUGGCCACUGAAGCAAACAAUGAAUACAUUAACGGCAUUGGCGACCAUGAUAUUACUUCUCAGGAAGAAACAAUAGGUCACAAAAAAUACAAACAACAGGUCACAACUGCAACGAUAAAUGUGGAAAAAUGUAAUGUUCUAUGUGGUAAAAAGACGUACGCGAUCGUCAUACUUGUGUUGACCUUCAUAUGCAUUGCAUUCAUGGUGUCGACAAUCAUCUUGGGCUGCAAGGUGGCUCUCUCAGCCGACACGAAACACGGCGAAGUGCAACAAGAUCAUCUCAUCUGUAUCUCUGCCAUGACCGGAGAGACCCAACCGUUUGCUUUUGACCUUGUUACAGGUGCAGCUCUGCCAGAGCAGAGUGGGUCUAUGCAUCGUAUGAGCUUGAUUAAUACGCGUGCACUGGUGUGAGCUUCAGUCAGCGGUGGUGAACAUUUUUUUUCGCUGGGGGCCGAAUACAAUGGGCUUUUUUCCACCUUGUACAAAGAGGCCCUUGCAGUAACAGACGCGAAUGAGCGUGCUAAAUCUAUAAAAAGUUUUUUAUUUCGAUUUAAAGCUUUCUUGACUGCAGGGAUUCAUCUUCUUGGUUUUUUCGGUAAAGUCACGUAGAAUGGAAAUAAUAAAAUAAUAACAAUAUAAUAAUAAUACAAGAAUAAAAGAAUAAUACAAAAAUAAUAUUGUUAAAUUUUUAUUAUUUUAUUAUUUCCAUUCUAUAAACAGUGUUUGACAUGUCGAAAAGAUUACCCCCAAGUCCCAAUUUGAUGCCGCUAAGAUGCUUGCAGUGACGGAUAAAGAUCAUUUUAGGGCUGUUUUAAAAUGGUUGGCCUCGUGUGGUUGUGGACUGUAGCAAAUGAAGCCGUAGGCAGGAGGUUGCCUACUCCUGGCUUAAGACAACUUUUGACAUUUUGGAAAUGGUGUGUAAUGCAGGAAUGUCGCGGUUAAUUUCCAAAUUACUGUAAAGAAUUCCAACAUAAAAUCGAUACUGAAUGUAUUAUGCUCGUUUAUACUGUGCAUGGAAAACAAACCAAUGAUACUGUAAACAUACUUUUUUUACAUUGUAAAGUGUAAAGAAAUAACAUGUUUCCUCAAAAACCUUUGGAUUAACUUGACAUCACAUUGGGACAUUUUAAUUCAUGUGAAAAACCAGGGCUUAACUUAUUAUGGAAUCUCUUUAGAGGCCCCCUAAACCCCCAACUCACCAGACCCAUCUCCCGAAAUUCCCACCAGCAUUGGGCAGGGAGGUGGUGUGGAGGAAGGGGGCAGAGCAAUCAUUUCCAGAGCUCAGCCCCGGACAUAUCCGGUUGAAAUGAUUGCCCAUAUACAGCUAUAAAUGCGCAGUUUUUGUUUUGCAAAAGCACCCUACUAUUUAAAAUCCCUUUAUGUGUGAUUUGGGGUUGCUUGUUUUCGGUAUUCGAUCUGGGGGGAAAUGUUGUCACCUGAGAGCUACACAACGUUGAAGUACAACAUUAUGCUUUGUUUUCAGAAACAAAUGUGGAUUUUUAUGCAAUAAAACCAGUUUAAUCUCUGUAUUUUUUAAAAGUGUUUAAAGGUUUGUUUUAGGAAAACAUGUUUUUAUUGUAAAUUUGAAAAAAUUAUGUGUAAAAUCAAAACUCUGUUCCACUGUGUUUAAACGAUCCAAUAUCCAAAUCGGUGUUGUUUCGAAGUGAAUUGCUUAUAUUGCUUUAAUUUAUGCAAAUUAUUUUAUAUCGAAACAUUUCCAUUGAUAUUUUAUUGUCAAGUCAAACAUUUAGUGGUUAUCUUGCUCAUAUGAUAAUGAAUGGUGCUGCUCAUCUCCCGUCUACAGCAUUGAGCCAGUGGUGAAAAUUCUGCAUUCAUAUCGCAGAUGGCAAGGUUAUUCAUAGGGUAAUCACUGGCGCCUUUCCCACAACAAAGUGGUACUAAUUUUAUCGACCUCGGAAGGAUUGUGGGUUGAGUCAACCUCCAACUUGCAAACCUUCCGAUUGUGAGCUGCUCACUCUACCACUGCACUACCUGGCCGCUUUGCUUCGUUGCAGCCUCUUUUCCAAAAA